GAGUCAUUGGGACUUUGAUAAACCUAAAGGCGCAAUGAAAGUAAAGGUCCGCCUCGCGCGGACCGAGGGAGGAUGGGCCCGUCCACGGGCGGGCCCCGCACUCCCGGGGCGUCUCGUUCUCAUCGCGAGAAGAGGCGCACCCAGAGCGUACACGCUGGGACCCGAAAGAUGGUGAACUAUGCCUGGUCAGGACGAAGUCAGGGGAAACCCUGAUGGAGGUCCGUAGCGAUUCUGACGUGCAAAUCGAUCGUCGGAACUGGGUAUAGGGGCGAAAGACUAAUCGAACCUUCUAGUAGCUGGUUCCCUCCGAAGUUUCCCUCAGGAUAGCUGGCGCUCGCCUUUGCGAGUCUCAUUCGGUAAAGCGAAUGAUUAGAGGCAUUGGGGUCGAAACGGCCUCAACCUAUUCUCAAACUUUAAAUGGGUGAGAUCUCCGGCUUGCUUGAAGCAUGAAGCCGCGAGAGAUCGGAUCGAAGAGUGCCAAGUGGGCCACUUUUGGUAAGCAGAAC
rnacentral:rRNA from 1 species